AACGGCGUUGUUUGUUUAGCCCUGAAUUUCCUUAAUUUUCCCCUAAAUCAGAUAACCCCGAUUCAUUCCCCAAUUUCCCAAUUUCUUUUCUACCAUUUUCCCCCAAAAUCAUUUUACCUCGAUUUCAUGUAGCUCUAGUUUCCCAAUUUCCCAAUUUAUUUUCUCCCAUUUUCCCCAACAGUGUAUUCCCCAAAUUAUUUUCCACAAUUUCCCAAACCCCAACUGAUUGAAAUCCCUAAUUUCUGAAAUUCGUUUUCUCUCCGGCGAAUACUUUUCUCUCUGUCAUAGCCUCUUUUCUCUGCCGCUGCCCCUGGAAUUUUGAGUGCUAUAGGUAUUUCUGUCACAACCUCUUAUUUUGUGAGUUUUGGGUUUGGGUUUAUGUGCGUUUUGGUUUCCUAUAGGUAAUGAAUAAAUAUGAUGAAUUUGUUAAAAAUAUGAAUUGGGUUUAUGUGCAUUUUUUGCGUUUUUUUACUACAACAAUGGAUGAUGUUUAUCAAAAACCAACACAACACUGUUUAAUCUACUCCACGUUUUGGUCUCAAUGUUCAUGGACUGUGCACCAAUCACAUUUCUCAAAUUGUUGAAACUUUUUAAAACGAUAACAUCUGUGUCGAUACAAACGCCGCCAUAUUUGUAUAACAAGACCAAUCGAAUGAGUAGAUUAGACAGGUUUUGUCCUAAAGAAACUUGACCUGGAUUGAUAUUACCUGUCUUUAAUCGAUUAAACCAUGUUUCUGCAUAUGUGUGCUUGAAUAUAGAAUCAAAAUCAGGACUUACAGUAAUUAAAUUAAACCCCAUGUUUAAAAAUGGUUUUAAAACAUCAUUUCCUUUUGAGGAAUCUAAUGAAGUGGAUACAAUGACAAGACAAGCUUUGGGGUUUGAUUUGAACACACUUUCAAUGACAAGUAAUUCUCUAUGACAAGUAAAUGUACUCAAUGAGAAUGAGAAAUUAUAAAUUUUCAAGGUUCUAGAUGUUAGCGACUGCAAAUUAUCAUGUUGAUCAUUUAUAAUUAUAUUGUAUCUUUGAAUACAAAAUUUUCUUGGAAGCAUAGAUAAGUAUAAACUCUCAAUGAUAAUGUAAUCAAACUUCAACUCCUGUAAGUUGACAUUGUUUCACCUAUGAGAUGUAGCUAUAGCAGUGAUAUCAACCUACAUGAAAAAGUAGCACUAAUUUGUAAGGAUAUGGAGUUCCCGAUUGAGAUAGGAGAACAAUGAUAAGCUAUUGCAUUCUCUAAUUUUGUUUUGAAUAUAUUAGAACAAAGGGCUAUAUAAAAUAUAAGUGCAAAAAUUCUUUUAAAAUCAUGGAAGCUGAGAAGUUUGAAGCAAUUUUUGGAUGAAAUUGUGACAAAUCAUAAAGUUAUUGGGAUUCGAAUUUGGCUGGAGGGAUUCCUGCUCAGCUGGCAAAAUUUGGCAAAUUUGGUAGCUUUCAUACACUAAAGCAAUACACAGAAAGCCUAGAUAGCCAAAAGGUGUAAUUUAAUUUGCCAUCCAAUUUAAUCGACUCUACCUUCCAGUUUACAAUUUCUAAGAGGAAAAAUGCGUAGAAGAAGAUUACAAGAUUUAAGUAUUGUCUAGAAUACUCAAAAUUAGGAAGAAGCAAAUAGUGAACAACAAACAGUUAUUGGAUCUUCGAAUGUGCCGGAGACACUUGACGAGCCUGUAGAAUUUCAAACUGAAAGUGGUGGGACGCGCAGAGGUCGGGGACAUAUGCUACUUAAAGAUUUAUACUACUUAAAUCCUGUCGAGCGUGUCAAAGUAAGUAGAAACAGUCAUGGUCAGCCUGUUGGAUCUGAAGCACGACUUUUAGCAGGCUAUUUGGGCAUUAUAGCACCAAAUGUCAAUAUGUUUCCCAUCAACUACGAAUCAUGGCAUCACAUGCCUGAUAGCGACAAAAAUCAAGCUCUCGAUAAUAUUAAGGAGAGAUUUGAUUUAGAGGUCUCAGAUGACUAUAUCAAGAAGGCAUUGGGUAAAAAAUUGCGAAAUGUCCCGCCGAGAAUGCUGAGAUACCAAUGGGAAGAUGCGGUUAGAUUCUGGAAUUCAAAGAAAAGAUAGGACCGUGAAUGAGUUGGAACAAGUAGCAGGCAAAAACAAAAAUUCACGCAUUACCAGCAGGUCGAGAAGUUUUGCUUACAGAAUGAGGUGAG